AUAUGCUUGCUCCGAAGACUAAGCCAUGCAUGCUAGGACACCAUGAUGGCCCUGGGCUGGCUCUGCCCAGCCCAGCGGCCGCAAGGAAUCUGCGAACGGCUCCGUACAACUGUUAUAAGCCUGCCGUGGGGCGAGGCUCGGAUAAGCGGCGGUAAACCUGCACCUAAAACGUAUAGGGGCCGUCCCCCUCUUCGGGGGGGGAGGGCCCCAGCUCUUCAGUACCUGCUAAACAGGGAAACGAGGGCCUCCAAAUAACGGAAAGCAGCUAGCCAGCCCCCUGCUUGCAGGGGGCUGACUGACCCCCCCUCGUGGGAGGCCUGCUGACCAUACCAGGACGUGGCUGGAGACUAACCGAAGGUGCUGUAAGGCCCCACAAGGGCGGACCGCAGGGCACGAUGGGUUUCAGCCCUAUCAACCCGCUGGUAGGGUAUUGGCCUACCAGGGUGACUACGGGUACAGAGGAUUAGGGUUUGAUCCUGGAGAGGUGGCCUGAGAAAUUGCCACCACUGCUACGGCAGGCAGCAGGCGCGCAACGUUCCCAAUGUUUUUACAUGAGGACGUGAAGGGGCGUAACAACGCCUCGCUUAAAGCGAGGCGAUUGAAAUGGGGCGGGCUUAAACACCCCGCCGAGUAGCA
rnacentral:rRNA from 1 species